rnacentral:rRNA from 1 species
GCUCAGGAUGAACGCUAGCGGCAGGCUUAACACAUGCAAGUCGAGGGGUAGAGGAAGCUUGCUUCCUUGAGACCGGCGCACGGGUGCGUAACGCGUAUGCAAUCUACCUUGUACAGGGGGAUAGCCCAGAGAAAUUUGGAUUAAUACCCCAUAGUGUUAUGAUGUGGCAUCACAUUAUAACUAAAGUUCCAACGGUACAAGAUGAGCAUGCGUCCCAUUAGCUAGUUGGUGUGGUAACGGCAUACCAAGGCAACGAUGGGUAGGGGUCCUGAGAGGGAGAUCCCCCACACUGGUACUGAGACACGGACCAGACUCCUACGGGAGGCAGCAGUGAGGAAUAUUGGUCAAUGGGCGCAAGCCUGAACCAGCCAUGCCGCGUGCAGGAUGACGGUCCUAUGGAUUGUAAACUGCUUUUGUACAGGAAGAAACACUCCCUCGUGAGGGAGCUUGACGGUACUGUAAGAAUAAGGAUCGGCUAACUCCGUGCCAGCAGCCGCGGUAAUACGGAGGAUCCAAGCGUUAUCCGGAAUCAUUGGGUUUAAAGGGUCCGUAGGCGGUUUUAUAAGUCAGUGGUGAAAUCUGGUCGCUCAACGAUCAAACGGCCAUUGAUACUGUAGAACUUGAAUUACUUGGAAGUAACUAGAAUAUGUAGUGUAGCGGUGAAAUGCUUAGAGAUUACAUGGAAUACCAAUUGCGAAAGCAGGUUACUACAAGUGGAUUGACGCUGAUGGACGAAAGCGUGGGGAGCGAACAGGAUUAGAUACCCUGGUAGUCCACGCCGUAACGAUGGAUACUAGCUG